UCGGAAAGGCAAACCCCAAACCAGAACCAGACCUAAAUAUAAAUAUAGAGCUGAGAAGUGAAGAUUGUGGAGCAGACGACCCGAGCCCAAGAUCAAAACCAUACCAAAACAGAGAGUCAAGGUGUUACUGAAACUAAAGUCGAAGCACAUGACCCUGACAUGUACAAUUCUGUUGCUAAAGAUCUUAACACCAGUCCGAGAAGAACC
rnacentral:lncRNA from 1 species